AUGCGAGCAAAUUUGGCUACUGAGAGGCAUGCUGGGAAAAUAUACACUAGGGCUAUGUUCGAGCAAUUCGGACAUAUACUAUAUGAGUGUGGUGCAUAUCAGGUGGAGGAGAUCGAUAAAGGUAAAAACUGUGUUGCAAUACAUAUAGAUGCAGCACGGAGAGAAAAGUGGUGUGGAACUUCGUACAAAGUAACAGUUAUGGAAGGAGGUGAUGAAUUUGACUGUGAGUGUGGGCAGUUUGCACACAUGGGGCUGUUGUGCAGCCACAUCCUAAAGGUAAUGGACUUCAUCCGUGUCACGGAAAUCCCAAAGAAGCACAUUUUGAAGCGGUGGACACGGGAUGCAAGAGAUAUCCUUCCAGCACACCUCAUACAAUAC
rnacentral:rRNA from 1 species